AAAAGCACACUUACUUUGCGUGUGCAUAUCAUCGUGGGAAAGUUCAGGUUCUGCCCUGAUCAAGGGACCCAAGUAUAGGUGGCUAUCCGGUCGGGCUUUUUUUAACAAUCCGGUAGCUCGGUGGGCUUGGCCCGUUUGUGCCCGGCCCAACACAUAUUUAAUCAGGCCGGCCUGACAUAGGCCCGUAUUUUUUAAAUUUUUUGGGAUUACACAUUUGGCCCAUUAACUAACCUUCUCGAUUCUAGCACAGCCCACCGGUUUUUUCUACUUUAGCCCACAAUUUCUUCUUGUUUUGGCCCAGAACAACUUAUUUUUCCUUUAAUCUGGCCCAGCCCAACAUGUUUUUUUUUUCUUUUUUCAGUAAUCUGGCCCAUGUGCCGAGGUAGGCCCGUCAGGACUUAACGGGCCCGGGCCGCCCCGGCCGAGCUCGGUGCCGCGCCUAGACCAGGAGGUUGCGUUUUCGGGCCAGCCCGGCCCUUCUACUGCCGGGCUUCACCUGGCCGCGCCUAGUCCAGGCCCGUCUAUCCCAAACCGAGCCGGGCCGGCCCGAUAGCCAGAGAUUCGCUUCCUCUCGGAUAUACCUGG
rnacentral:lncRNA from 1 species